AUAUAGGUGAAUAUUAAAAAAUGUAUUGAAAACUGAGGUCAGGAUUUUCUACGUUUGUUGUCAUUCUCGGAUAUGAUUUUUUCUCUUUAUUUCCCAGAGUUGAAUAUUUAAUCAUUGAUCGACGGCUUGUAAUUCUCAGUUUCAUAUUCAACUGUACCCCCUCGUCGCGUGUCAACUGUUGGUUCGUCGGCAGUUAUGACAAAUAUUUAUAUCGACAUCAAUCAACACGACAUUUAAACUUUGUUUACAGCAAAUUUGAAUGAUAUGAAAAUCUAAGCUCUCACAUUGAUUGAAGUUAAUAAAACUAAUUAAAAAAUUGGAAAUUGCCCAAAACGCAACUAGUCACGAGCACACAGUGAGAGAUGUGGUCCAUUGAACGAUGGAGAGAAAACUGAAAUUUAAAGGGGUUUAUCAAAUACACAAAGUAGCACUUCAUUCAAAAAGUUGGAACUUAAUUUUGAACGAAAUUACAUUGCUUUUGGUGCACCAGUCAAGUUAUUUUUGUUUUCAUGUUUGUAUUAUCUGUGAAUAUAGUUGUUGGUCCUCUAAAGAAACAUUCAAAUAACCGAUUGCUUCAUCUUUAUCAAAC
rnacentral:lncRNA from 1 species